rnacentral:rRNA from 1 species
AAUUUUGGACAAUGGGGGAAACCCUGAUCCAGCCAUCCCGCGUGUAAGAUGAUGGCCUGCGGGUUGCAAAGCACUUUUGGCAGAGAAGAAAAGGUAUCCCCUAAAACGGGAUACUGCUGACGGUAUCUGCAGAAUACGCUCGGGCAAAAGACGUUCGAGGCGCCGCGGUAAUACGUAGGGUGCAAGCGUUAAUCGGAAUUACUGGGCGUAAAGCGUGUGUAGGCGGUUCGAAGAGAAAGAUGUGAAAUCCCCGGGCUCAACCUUGGAACUGCAUUUUUAACUGCCGAGCUAGAGUAUGUCAGAGGGGGGUAGAAUUCCACGUGUAGCAGUGAAAUGCGUAGAUAUGUGGAGGAAUACCGAUGGCGAAGGCAGCCCCCUGGGAUGAUACUGACGCUCAGACACGAAAGCGUGGGGAGCAAACAGG